AACAACACCUAAACCCAAGAGGGCAGCUGUUGCAGCAUCCAGUUCAUCUUAAGAAUGUCAACGAUUAGUCAUGCAAUAAAUGUUCUGGUUUUAAAAAAUACAUAUCUGGUGUUUGGUCUCAGCUUCAGAACAUUCACUUAUAAAGAAACCCUGCUGAUUAAAUCUCUCUUGGGCUUCCUCCUGAAAUGAGUUUGGAUCAUAAUACAAGAGAAGCACAGGGCAAAGACACUGCAUAACCUCAAGAACUAAGAAUGGAAGGACUGGCCAGGCCUGGUGGUGCACACCUGUAAUCCCAGCUACUCAGGAGGCUGAGGCAAGAGAAUCGCUUGAGCCUGGGGGGCAGAGGUUGCAGUGAACUGAGAGAACGCCGUUGCACUCCAGUCUGGGCGGCAGAGCGAGACUCCAUCUCAAAAAAAAAAAAAAAAAAAGAUAAAGGAAGGACUUAAGCAAAAUCUUC
rnacentral:sRNA from 1 species